rnacentral:rRNA from 1 species
AGAGUUUGAUCCUGGCUCAGGACGAACGCUGGCGGCGUGCUUAAUACAUGCAAGUCGAGCGGGUGCAGCAAUGCAUCAGCGGCGGACGGGUGAGUAACGCGUGGGUAACCUGCCCUCUAAUCUGGGACAACAGUUCGAAAGGACUGCUAACACCGGAUAUGCUCCCGGCCUGGCAUCAGGCAGAGAGGAAAGUUUACGUU